rnacentral:rRNA from 1 species
GCCUGCCCAGUGAAUGCAUUAAACGGCCGCGGUAUCCUAACCGUGCAAAGGUAGCACAAUCACUUGUUCUUUAAAUGAGGACUAGUAUGAAUGGCACCAUGAGGAUCACCUUGUCUCUCAAAAUAAGUCUAUGAAACUGCUCUCCCAGUACAAAAGCUGAGAUAAACCCACAAGACGAGAAGACCCUGUGGAGCUUCAAACUUCAGCUCACACCCUAUGACCCUGCAGUUUUUAGUUGGGGCGACUUUGGAGACAAAACUAACCUCCAAAUAAUUUAUUUUUAGACUGCCGAGUCUAAAACACCCUCCAAUUGACCCAAUACAAUUGACCAAUGAACCAAGUUACCCCAGGGAUAACAGCGCAAUCUUCUCCUAGAGUUCCUAUCGACAAGAAGGUUUACGACCUCGAUGUUGGAUCCGGAUACCCAAAUAGUGCAGCCGCUAUUAACAGGUUCGUUUGUUCAACGAUUAAUAAUCCCACGUGAUCUGAGUUCAGACCGG